rnacentral:rRNA from 1 species
UACGUAGGGGGCAAGCGUUAUCCGGAAUUACUGGGUAUAAAGGGAGCGUAGACGGUAAUGUAAGUCUGGAGUGAAAGGCGGGGGCCCAACCCCCGGACUGCUCUGGAAACUAUGUUACUAGAGUGCAGGAGAGGUAAGCGGAAUUCCUAGUGUAGCGGUGAAAUGCGUAGAUAUUAGGAGGAACACCAGUGGCGAAGGCGGCUUACUGGACUGUGACUGACGUUGAGGCUCGAAAGCGUGGGGAGCAAACAGG